ACACUGAUGUCCUGUGAGAACAGUAGAGAAGAGCAAAACAUAAAGGCUUGUUUAUGGAGCCUGGUACUAAUCAAGUGAAAGGAGAGGAAAAAAGGAAGCAACAUGAAUGACAUGGGAUUUGAUAAAACAAGGCAGCAUAUUCAGGUUUGUCAAGUCAAACUGGGAGAAGCUGAAACCUCAUAGAAAGAAGAAGUAUUCACACAGGUGCUACACUCAGCUGGGGCUGAACCAAUCUGCGGCUGCAGGUUCGCUACCUGCAGCAUAAAAAAGGGACACACGCAGCACUUAGGAGGAACGGAGAAUGAAUGACCUCGCUCAAACAAAGUGGCUGUGUGCGUGAGGAUCUGCGGCAAACUGUGCAGGACUGCUUCAUCUACAAAAAUCCGGGUAGCAGCCGGUUUUUCACCUAAACCUAUCACCUAAGUUGCCAUCGUUGUUUCCAUGACUUUGCAAUCAUUGCAAAAUAAAAGAGGAAGAAAAGAAAGCAACUGUCUGACUCAUGAGUGGAGCCGUCAUUGAAAGUGGGAGAACACUUGACAAGACCAAAGAACUACAGACUCUUCACAACCUGCUCAAACUCUUGGUACAGGACCUCACCACACGGGUCAAGAAGGCUUCCGUCUCAUUUCUACUCUGAAGCUCACCUUCUCCUGCUCAAACUACUGACAAAUGUUUCUGCUGCUCUAAAGUCUGGUCUCCAGAACUUCCUAAAAACUCUCAGUCUCUUCUGCUGCAGGCUGCUUUGUAGAACCGUUCCAGAAAACCUCACUAAACCACAUGGAGGAGCCUCAAGAUAGUCGUCCAAAUGAAACCAUACAAAAACCAAACUAACACAACCCAAACACUAAAGUCUCCUGCAGCCUACCAGAGAACCUCUGAGAACAGAGAAUCAGGACAGGAACUCUUACCUUCUGGACAACCAACCUUGGUUCAAAAGAAUACAGACUGUGUCUGACCAAAAACCUCUAAAGACUCACUACAGCCAAGAUAAAGACACAACUCAGCUGCACCAAAUCCACUAAUCACUGCAAACAUCAGCACCAUGUGCUAACUGUGGCUAAAGAACCACAUUUACCAAGACAACUAUCCAGUACAAAGCCCUAAAACACACCAAGAAACACAUUAAAGACAAUUUUACUGCUGGAAGCUGCAAGCCAACGCCUAAAGAACAAACUAAGGCAACAGAGCCAAACCCGGUUCAGUGGUGAAGAGAAGCAGAGGAAAUGUUUGUCUGCAGCUAAAUAAAGCAGGAAGACACUGAGCUGCUCAGGUGUUCCUGAUAAUACCAAGCAGCCACCUGGACAGCCAAUAGGAACACAGCUUACUGGGAGUCCAGAGGGCUGGGUUAGUGAAGGAAAUUUAGUUUAAAGUUGAAGCAGAAAGUUAACAAUGAAAGUUGAAAACCACCUUCUGAUACCUGAAAUCUCUGAGUUUUCACACAAAGAACACCUGAACAUGUCAAACUGGUUCCAUAGUAGAACCAUCAUUGUAAAAACGUCAUAGUAUGGUGUGUUGCUCAAAAAACAUUAGGACCCGGCUGUCAGGGGACAAACAUGUAAGAAACAUGAGAACAGAGAGAAUCCAACCAGUAGGUCACAGUUUAUCAUCCCCCAGUCAUCUCCUGAAGUCCAUAUGGUGAGAGACAUCAGUAUCUGGUUGUUAAUUUACCAGAGGAUGCUUAUAAUCAUGCUGAUGUGGUCUGUACUCUACAGUAUUUUAGUGACUCAAUAAAUGCCUAAGUUGUUUUUUUUUUAAAUGCUUUUUAGUUUUUAAGAAACAUUUAAUAGCCUAUAUGUGAUCAAUAAAUGGCCUUUGCCUAUCUUAAGAAAAAUUCACUCAGAACUCUAUGUUAACAGUACUAAAUAAAUCAAUAAAUACAUGCAUACACACAAAAAUAAGUUAAUACAUUAACUGUGUUAAGAUAAGAUUUAGAUUUUUAAAAAAAGUUGUUUAUGUCUUUGCAGAAUCCAGUAUUGCUCACUGGUUGGUCAUUUUGUUAGUUUAAUUUUACUGUUUAAAAUGAUGCCACCUCUUUUCAGACAGAACCUGUGAUAAUAAAACAAUACAAAAUUUUUAGUUCCGUGUUAAUAAAGCACUUAAAGCUUUAAGUAUGGCUAAAUGCUUUUUUCAAAAUUAAAUCUAUCACUCCUUAGGUGGUAGUGGCCCCAAGUUCAGUAAAGUUGGAAAGAUAUUCACAGAUUCGGGCUUCCAGCAUCAAUAACUCAUUAGAUAUAGGUUGUCAAAACAUAAACGGUGCCUCUUUCCCAUUGUUGCAAGGCAGACAAUGUGCUACAAGCCCAGUUUUAUCAAAAGUAGCUGUCUUUCAAGCUACAGGAAUAACAUUGGUGUCUAUGGAGUGAACAGGGUCCGUCUGCAAUUUGCAAAACCGCUGCAACAGUAAAGAGAGACAAAUAUUCAAUAACUUCACUCUUAUACAUUGUAGUGUCACUAAAAUCACUGCAGCCUUCAACUGGCUCCUGCUGACAAAGUGUUUUAACAGAAAUGUAAAUGCUGUAAUUUGAUUCUUUUAAUGAACCAUGUAACUUGAAUGGAUGUGAUGCUGGUGUGACCACAGUGCACAUGUCUGAUGUUGCUCACAGUGGUCCAAGGGACGCUCAGGGAGUUUGUGUGUUUGCUCAAACUCAUGAAAAAUUAGAGGGAACAUUGGUGACCACUGACAUAAUUUCCUUGUGUUUUUUUUUUUUUGCAAUCUACUGACUUUUUAUUGUGAACUAUUGUCUUUUUAUUGCAACCUAUUGUCUUUUUAUUGCAACCUACUGACCUUUUAUUGUGAUUCAUUGUCCUAUGUUUUAUUGUAUGUUUCACUGUUAUGUUUUCUUUGUGUACUUUUUGCAGUGUGCUUUUAUUGUGACUUAUUGUUUUAUGUUUCACUGUUAUGUCUUUUUUCCUUAGGGACUACGGAUGUAAAUUAGCAUUGUGCUAUAAUCUGGCAUAUUUACGCCCAUUUCGAAAUAAAUGGGCGUUCAUUAAUGUGCACUGUCCCUACCAAAUAAAUAAAUAAAUAAAUAAAUAAA